rnacentral:lncRNA from 1 species
GCUGUCAAGGUGGAGAUAGCUAAGAAAGAGACUGCUAUUGGAGCACCAUCCGAGUACCUGCAAAAUAUCCUUACCGGGGUAUCCUCCAGUGAAGACUCUCUGAUGCUUAAGUCAAGAGAUGGAGAACAAUGAGAAGGAGAGAGCAAGGAGUGGAGAACUUAGUUUGAGGAUCUCGAAGCUCCUUUAUUUAUAGAGGAGGAGUUGGAGUCAUAUCCAUCUCGAAGUCCUGAUAAUUUUUUAAAUUUAUUGCAU